rnacentral:rRNA from 1 species
UUCCGUAGGUGAACCUGCGGAAGGAUCAUUACCUAGAGUUUGUAGACUUCGGUCUGCUACCUCUUACCCAUGUCUUUUGAGUACCUUCGUUUCCUCGGCGGGUCCGCCCGCCGAUUGGACAACAUUCAAACCCUUUGCAGUUGCAAUCAGCGUCUGAAAAAACAUAAUAGUUACAACUUUCAACAACGGAUCUCUUGGUUCUGGCAUCGAUGAAGAACGCAGCGAAAUGCGAUAAGUAGUGUGAAUUGCAGAAUUCAGUGAAUCAUCGAAUCUUUGAACGCACAUUGCGCCCCUUGGUAUUCCAUGGGGCAUGCCUGUUCGAGCGUCAUUUGUACCUUCAAGCUCUGCUUGGUGUUGGGUGUUUGUCUCGCCUCUGCGUGUAGACUCGCCUUAAAACAAUUGGCAGCCGGCGUAUUGAUUUCGGAGCGCAGUACAUCUCGCGCUUUGCACUCAUAACGACGACGUCCUAAAGUACAUUUUUACACUCUUGACCUCGGAUCAGGUAGGGAUACCCGCUGAACUUAAGCAUAUCA